GCUACACUGUCAUUAAGAGGAGGGGGUGGGUCUUACAUCUUAUUGUAUUCUCAGCACCUGGCUUAAUGCAACUAAAAAAAUAAUCACUCAAGUUUUUGUUGAAUGAAUAAAUGACUGGCUCCAUC